rnacentral:rRNA from 1 species
CCUACGGGAGGCAGCAGUGAGGAAUAUUGGUCAAUGGGCGCGAGCCUGAACCAGCCAAGUAGCAUGAAGGAUGACUGCCCUACGGGUUGUAAACUUCUUUUAUAAAGGAAUAAAGUGAGGCACGUGUGCCUUUUUGUAUGUACUUUAUGAAUAAGGAUCGGCUAACUCCGUGCCAGCAGCCGCGGUAAUACGGAGGAUCCGAGCGUUAUCCGGAUUUAUUGGGUUGAAAGGGAGCGUAGAUGGGUUGUUAAGUCAGUUGUGAAAGUUUGAGGCUCAACCGUAAAAUUGCAAUUGAAAAUGGCAGCCUUGAGUACAGUGGAGGUAGGCGGAAUUCGUGGUGUAGCGGUGAAAUGCUUAGAUAUCACGAAGAACUCCGAUUGCGAAGGCAGCUUACUAAACUGCCACUGACAUUGAUGCUCGAAAGUGUGGGUAUCAAACAGGAUUAGAUACCCGAGUAGUC